CCUACGGGAGGCAGCAGUGAGGAAUAUUGGUCAAUGGCCGUAAGGCUGAACCAGCCAAGUCGCGUGAAGGAAGAAGGAUCUAUGGUUUGUAAACUUCUUUUAUAGGGGAAUAAAGGUAUCCACGUGUGGCUAUUUGCAUGUACCCUAUGAAUAAGCAUCGGCUAACUCCGUGCCAGCAGCCGCGGUAAUACGGAGGAUGCGAGCGUUAUCCGGAUUUAUUGGGUUUAAAGGGUGCGUAGGUUGUUGUUUAAGUCAGCGGUGAAAGUUUGUGGCUCAACCAUAAAAUUGCCAUUGAAACUGGAAGACUUGAGUGUGUUUGAGGUAGGCGGAAUGCGUGGUGUAGCGGUGAAAUGCAUAGAUAUCACGCAGAACUCCGAUUGCGAAGGCAGCUUACUAAGCCAUAACUGACACUGAAGCACGAAAGCGUGGGGAUCAAACAGGAUUAGAUACCCCAGUAGUC
rnacentral:rRNA from 1 species